UAUCUCCCCAUACCCUAACUCCUUUCCCAAAGUAGGCAGAAAAACAGCCCUGUUGUUCCGGUGGAAGCCUUAGCUCUGUAUUCCUUUUAGACUGUAUUUCAAAACGCAUUAUUAGAGCCCCAAAGUCACCUGGUGAAAGAAUGUGAGAGCUGGAAGUGGCCUCAAAAUCCAGUUGAACCCUCUUAUUUCAUAUGUUUGGAAACUGAGCACUAGAAAAGACAGUGUCUUGCUAUGUUGCCCAGGAUGGACUUGAACUCCUGGGCUCAAGG
rnacentral:lncRNA from 1 species